UAUGUUACUCAAUUCUUUGAACCCUUUCUAAGUUAUAUGCCAAAAAUCACAUAGCCAUCCGUCACCAAUUUUUUUUUUUUUUUUUAGGGAUGUGGUCUCAUUAGGUUGCCCAAGCUGGACUUGUACUCUUGGCCUCAAGAGGUCCUUCCAUCUCAGUCUCCCAAGUAGCUGGGACUACAAGCAUGCACCACUACACUCAGCCAAAUACUUUCAAUAAUUUGCCAGCUGACAACUUGAUUGGGUUCUCCUUCAGGUUUGAAGCACCCUCGAGAAGUGUCUAAAGGAGACAGUUGAUAGCCAAACAACAGUUUUGGGUUCACUGACUGAUUAUGAAAGAAGCGGUAGACUGGUAUCAAGAAUCAGUCAGGUUUUUGGAAUCCUUAGGCUUCCACGUGUGGAAAGCCUGAGCUAACCUACUGGAGGAUGAGCCAUCACCUGGAGCAGAUUCAGGCCAUCCUAGUUGAAGCCUCCCUAGGCCAAGCAACCUUCCAACUACCAGACAUUGACCAUUCAGCCUUGAACAUUCAGCACAAAGACAAAACAGACCAGACCAGAAGAGUCCCACAGAAUAGGGGAAACUAUUCAGAGAAAACUUAAGCCACUAAGUUUUAUGGUGUUUUGUUCUGUAGCAGAAGCAUACUGACAAUACAAACCGAAAUCCUUCUAAUGUAGUGGACCUUUUCAGGCCAGCAUUUUUUCCUUGAAAACCUGGAGCAUGUAUGCAUCUUACAGCAGAGAUCACUUUCACAAUGUUUGGGCUCUUGAUUUGAAUUGAUGAUGUAAUGAGCCCUCUAUCCAGAUUGUAACUAAUUACUCUGCGAAUUGACUGGAUUCCACACCCUUCUAAUAUUUUACUUUUCUCUUUUAUCAACUCUCAUUCUCUCUGCCAUGAUCAAUGGACCAACUAUGCUUAUAACCACAAAUUUUGAUAUGCUUAAACAAAUGAACAAAUAUAUUUAAUAAUUUCUUUUUUUUUUGAAAUGGUGUCUUGCUCUGUCACCCAGGCUGCAGUGCAGCAGCGUGAUCUCAGCUCACUACAACCUCCACCUCCCGGGUUCAAGUGAUUCUCCUGCCUCAGCCUCCCAAGUAGCUGGGACUACAGGCGCCCACCACCAUACCUGGCUAAUUUUUUGUAUUUUUAGUAGAGACAGGGUUUAUCCAUGUUGGCCAGGCUGGUCUCAAACUCCUGACCUCAAGUGAUCCUCCUGCCUCGGCCUCCCAAAGUGCUGGGAUUACAGAUGUGAGCCACCAUACCCAGCCAAUAAUUUCCUGAUAUAAUACAAAUGCCAAUACUAUACAAUUAAAUAGUAAAGUGAUAAAAAAUAGGAUAACAUGAUAACCACUAAUUAAUAUGUACUACAUAAUCAUCCUUUUCGUGAGUUGAAAUGUUCUUUUAGCACACUUUAUGGUUUAUCCUUUCUGGAAUACUAUUAAAUGAUCAUGAUUUUUCUCA